AGGACGAACGCUGGCGGCGUGCUUAACACAUGCAAGUCGAACGGUGAAGCCCUUUCGGGGGUGGAUCAGUGGCGAACGGGUGAGUAACACGUGAGCAACCUGCCCUUGACUCUGGGAUAACUUCGGGAAACCGGAGCUAAUACCGGAUAUGACACGCGGAGGCAUCUCCUGUGUGUGGAAAGAUUUAUUGGUCAAGGAUGGGGCUCGCGGCCUAUCAGCUAGUUGGUGGGUAAUGGCCUACCGAAGGCGACGACGGGUA
rnacentral:rRNA from 1 species